AGGGUGACAGGUGGUGCAUGGUUGUCGUCAGCUCGUGUCGUGAGAUGUUGGGUUAAGUCCCGCAACGAGCGCAACCCUCGACCUUAGUUGCCAGCAUUCAGUUGGGCACUCUAAGGUGACUGCCGGCUAAAAAGUCGGAGGAAGGUGGGGAUGACGUCAAAUCAUCAUGCCCCUUAUGACCUGGGCUACACACGUGCUACAAUGGGCGGUACAAAGGGUCGCGAACCCGCGAGGGGGAGCCAAUCCCAAAAAAGCCGCUCUCAGUUCGGAUUGCAGGCUGCAACUCGCCUGCAUGAAGCCGGAAUCGCUAGUAAUCGCGGAUCAGCAUGCCCGCGGUCGAAUACGUUCCCGGGCCUU
rnacentral:rRNA from 1 species